UCGUCUCUGUGUUACUUGAAUAACAAAUUUCCAUUUGUAUUUGAGCGUCAAAAGAGACGUACAUUGAUUUCUUGUUUUUCCGCAAGUCUGCUGAUUUUGAGGCUAGACUUACUAUAAACGAGAGACAAAU